UACGAGAGGUGCGAGCGUUAUUCGGAAUUAUUGGGCGUAAAGGGUGCGUAGACGGUAUGCUAAGUCAGUAGUUAAAUUUCCCGGCCUAACCGGGAGCCUGCUAUUGAUACUGGCGUACUAGAGGGUGGAAGAGAGAAGUGGAAUUCUCGGAGUAGCGGUAAAAUGCGUAGAUAUCGAGAGGAACACCGAUGGCGAAGGCAGCUUCUUGGGCCACACCUGACGUUGAGGCACGAAAGCGUGGGGAGCAAACAGG
rnacentral:rRNA from 1 species